rnacentral:rRNA from 1 species
GCGUUCUGUAAGCCUGUGAAGGUGGCCUGUGAGGGUUGCUGGAGGUAUCAGAAGUGCGAAUGCUGACAUAAGUAACGAUAAAGCGGGUGAAAAGCCCGCUCGCCGGAAGACCAAGGGUUCCUGUCCAACGUUAAUCGGGGCAGGGUGAGUCGACCCCUAAGGCGAGGCCGAAAGGCGUAGUCGAUGGGAAACAGGUUAAUAUUCCUGUACUUGGUGUUACUGCGAAGGGGGGACGGAGAAGGCUAUGUUGGCCGGGCGACGGUUGUCCCGGUUUAAGCGUGUAGGCUGGUUUUCCAGGCAAAUCCGGAAAACCAAGGCUGAGGCGUGAUGACGAGGCACUACGGUGCUGAAGCGACAAAUGCCCUGCUUCCAGGAAAAGCCUCUAAGCAUCAGGUAACAUCAAAUCGUACCCCAAACCGACACAGGUGGUCAGGUAGAGAAUACCAAGGCGCUUGAGAGAACUCGGGUGAAGGAACUAGGCAAAAUGGUGCCGUAACUUCGGGAGAAGGCACGCUGAUAUGUAGGUGAAGCGACUUGCUCGUGGAGCUGAAAUCAGUCGAAGAUACCAGCUGGCUGCAACUGUUUAUUAAAAACACAGCACUGUGCAAACACGAAAGUGGACGUAUACGGUGUGACGCCUGCCCGGUGCCGGAAGGUUAAUUGAUGGGGUUAGCGGCAACGCGAAGCUCUUGAUCGAAGCCCCGGUAAACGGCGGCCGUAACUAUAACGGUCCUAAGGUAGCGAAAUUCCUUGUCGGGUAAGUUCCGACCUGCACGAAUGGCGUAAUGAUGGCCAGGCUGUCUCCACCCGAGACUCAGUGAAAUUGAACUCGCUGUGAAGAUGCAGUGUACCCGCGGCAAGACGGAAAGACCCCGUGAACCUUUACUAUAGCUUGACACUGAACAUUGAGCCUUGAUGUGUAGGAUAGGUGGGAGGCUUUGAAGUGUGGACGCCAGUCUGCAUGGAGCCGACCUUGAAAUACCACCCUUUAAUGUUUGAUGUUCUAACGUUGGCCCGUAAUCCGGGUUGCGGACAGUGUCUGGUGGGUAGUUUGACUGGGGCGGUCUCCUCCUAAAGAGUAACGGAGGAGCACGAAGGUUGGCUAAUCCUGGUCGGACAUCAGGAGGUUAGUGCAAUGGCAUAAGCCAGCUUGACUGCGAGCGUGACGGCGCGAGCAGGUGCGAAAGCAGGUCAUAGUGAUCCGGUGGUUCUGAAUGGAAGGGCCAUCGCUCAACGGAUAAAAGGUACUCCGGGGAUAACAGGCUGAUACCGCCCAAGAGUUCAUAUCGACGGCGGUGUUUGGCACCUCGAUGUCGGCUCAUCACAUCCUGGGGCUGAAGUAGGUCCCAAGGGUAUGGCUGUUCGCCAUUUAAAGUGGUACGCGAGCUGGGUUUAGAACGUCGUGAGACAGUUCGGUCCCUAUCUGCCGUGGGCGCUGGAGAACUGAGGGGGGCUGCUCCUAGUACGAGAGGACCGGAGUGGACGCAUCACUGGUGUUCGGGUUGUCAUGCCAAUGGCACUGCCCGGUAGCUAAAUGCGGAAGAGAUAAGUGCUGAAAGCAUCUAAGCACGAAACUUGCCCCGAGAUGAGUUCUCCCUG